rnacentral:rRNA from 1 species
UACGUAGGGACCAAGCGUUGUUCGGAUUUACUGGGCGUAAAGGGCGCGUAGGCGGCGUGACAAGUCACUUGUGAAAUCUCUGGGCUUAACCCAGAACGGCCAAGUGAAACUGUUGUGCGUAGAGUGCAGAAGGGGCAACUGGAAUUCUCGGUGUAGCGGUGAAUGCGUAGAUAUCGAGAGGAACACCUGCGGCGAAGGCGGUUGCUGGGCUGAUACUGACGCUGAGGCGCGAAAGCUAGGGGAGCGAACGGG